GACGAACGCUGGCGGCGUGCUUAACACAUGCAAGUCGAACGGAAAGACCCUGCUUUUGUGGGGUGCUCGAGUGGCGAACGGGUGAGUAACACGUGAGUAACCUGCCCUUGACUUUGGGAUAACUUCAGGAAACUGGGGCUAAUACCGGAUAGGAGCUCCUGCUGCAUGGUGGGGGUUGGAAAGUUUCGGCGGUUGGGGAUGGACUCGCGGCUUAUCAGCUUGUUGGUGGGGUAGUGGCUGACCAAGGCUUUGACGGGUAGCCGGCCUGAGAGGGUGACCGGCCACAUUGGGACUGAGAUACGGCCCAGACUCCUACGGGAGGCAGCAGUGGGGAAUAUUGCACAAUGGGCGGAAGCCUGAUGCAGCAACGCCGCGUGCGGGAUGACGGCCUUCGGGUUGUAAACCGCUUUCGCCUGUGACGAAGCGUGAGUGACGGUAAUGGGUAAAGAAGCACCGGCUAACUACGUG
rnacentral:rRNA from 1 species